AUGGAAUGCUUGAGUCUUGUGUACCUGUUGACAGCCCUUCCUGGUAUUCUUUCCGAUGUGCAACUUCAGGAGUCAGGACCUGGCAUUGUGAAACCUUCUCAGACACUGUCACUCACCUGCUCUGUCACUGGCUACUCCAUCACUAGUGGUUAUUACUGGCACUGGAUCUGGCAGUUUCCAGGAAAUAAAAUGGAGUGGAUGGGUGACAUAAGCUCUGGUGGUAGCACUGACUACAACCCAUCUCUCAAAAGUCGAAUCUCCAUCACUAGAGACACAUCCAAGAACCAAUACUUUCUGCAGUUGAACUCUGUGACUACUGAGGACACAGCCACAUAUUACUGUGCAAGAGACACAGUGUGGAGUCUCCAGU